GAUGAAGAACGCAGCGAAAUGCGAUAAGUAGUGUGAAUUGCAGAAUUCAGUGAAUCAUCGAAUCUUUGAACGCACAUUGCGCCCCUUGGUAUCCCGAGGGGCAUGCCUGUUCGAGCGUCAUUUCACCACUCAAGCCUGGCUUGGUGUUGGGCGACGUCCCCUUUGCGGACGCGCCUCGAAACGCUCGGCGGCGUGGCACCGGCUUUAAGCGUAGCAGAAUCUUUCGCUUUGGAAGUCGGGGCCCCGUCUGCCGGAAGACCUACUCGCAAGGUUGACCUCGGAUCAGGCAGGGAUACCCGCUGAACUUAAGCAUAUCAAUAAGCGGAGGA
rnacentral:misc_RNA from 1 species